GCCGGGUUAGCACAGCGGUAGUGCAGCUGAUUUGUAAUCAGAAGGUCGGGGGUUCAAAUCCCUCACCCGGCA
rnacentral:tRNA from 2 species